GAGUUGCCCCAAGGCCAAAACUUAUCCCAAGGUCUCCACCUCCUUCUUAGAGUUAGGAGUACUGAAACUUACCUGGGUCUGCAAGUCUCCCUAGCCCAGGAUAAUAGUUUGCAGCACCUCACUGUCCCACGUCAGAGCCACAGCCAAAAGCCAAACAGCCCUCUGCCUUUACGCCCUUUGAACAUCCCUAAAGCCAGCCUCACUGUGAAGGCCUCCUCUAAUGAAAUCCGUGCCUUUCUCCCACCCCCACUCCCCACCCCAGCUAAUAUGUCGCAAGUGGGGGCUGGGGAGAGCUGAAAAUCAACAUUUCUUUGGCUGUCGGUCGGGGAGGGAGGAGCAUCCAAGGGCUGGAUGCUCCUCGCUAGGCUGAAGAAGGAAAAUUCCAGUCACUUGGCUGCAGCCUGGGAGCUUAUGGAAGACAGAUGUUUUCCUGCCAGUUGUGAAACAGCCACUGCUAAAAUGAAGGAGAAGGACAACAUAGGGAGCUCUAAGUCUAUCCUGGCAGAAGCCAUGAGGGAGCUGAGUGACUGUCAGAAUCAAGGGCAGAGUGGAUGAAGGGGGAGAUCAAUAAACACACCUCCAGAGACCCUGCUCACCUCUAGAUUACAACUGUCACCAGCAGAGCCUCAAAAGCUGGAGCAGGGCACAUGUCUGUGAUCCCUGGAAGCACUUGGAAGACGUUAGCAGGAGUUCAAGGUCAUCUUCAGCUACAGGAUGAGUUCAAGACCAGCCUGGGCUACAUGAGAUCUUGCCUCAAAUAAGUAAAUAAAAAGUAGUAAGUAAAACUUAAAAAAAAAAAUGAAUAAAAGGAGGAAUUAACAGUUCUUCUAGAA